GCGCUCGUAGCUCAGCUGGAUAGAGCACUAGCUUGCGGAGCUAGGUGUCGGGGGUUCAAAUCCCUCCGAGCGCG
rnacentral:tRNA from 1 species